AGUCACUGCUAUUGGGAUUCGACUAAGCCAUGCGAGUCGAGAGGGUUCGGCCCUCGGCUGACGGCUCAGUAACACGUGGAUAAUCUGCCCUUAGGAGGAGGAUACCCUCGGGAAACUGAGAAUAAUACUCCAUAGGCCUAGGAUGCUGGAAUGCAUCUAGGCUUGAAGCUCCGGCGCCUAAGGAUGAGUCUGCGGACUAUCAGGUUGUAGUCAGGGUAAUGACCUGACUAGCCUACGACGGAUAUGGGUUGUGAGAGCAAUAACCCAGAGAUGAUAUCUGAGACACGAUAUCAGGCCCUACGGGGCGCAGCAGGCGCGAAAACUUCACACUGUGCGAAAGCACGAUGAGGGAAUCCCAAGUGCUUGCUCGUAAGAGUAAGCUGUUUUUAUGUUUAAAACGCAUAGAGAGUAAGAGCUGGGUAAGACGGGUGCCAGCCGCCGCGGUAAUACCUGCAGCUCGAGUGGUGGCCGCUAUUAUUGGGCCUAAAACGUCCGUAGCCGGUUUAUUAAAUGCCUGGGUAAAUCGUGUAGCUUAACUAUACGAAUUCCGGGUAGACUGAUAAACUUGAGAUCGGGAGAAGUUAGAGGUACUCCUGGGGUAGAGGUGAAAUUCUGUAAUCCUAGGGGGACCACCAGUGGCGAAGGCGUCUGACUAGAACGAGUCUGACGGUGAGGGACGAAGCCCUGGGGCGCAAACCGGAUUAGAUACCCGGGUAGUCCAGGGUGUAAACGCUGCUUGCUUGAUGUUAGUCGGGCUCCGAGCCCGAUUAGUGUCGGAGAGAAGUUGUUAAGCAAGCUGCCUGGGAAGUACGGUCGCAAG
rnacentral:rRNA from 1 species